rnacentral:rRNA from 1 species
GAUGAACGCUGGCGGCGUGCCUAAUACAUGCAAGUCGAGCGAACAGACGAGGAGCUUGCUCCUCUGACGUUAGCGGCGGACGGGUGAGUAACACGUGGAUAACCUACCUAUCAGACUGGGAUAACUUCGGGAAACCGGCGCUAAUACCGGAUAAUAUAUUGAACCGCAUGGUUCAAUAGUGAAAGACGGUUUUGCUGUCACUUAUAGAUGGAUCCCCGCCGCAUUAGCUAGUUGGUAAGGUAACGGCUUACCAAGGCAACGAUGCGUAGCCGACCUGAGAGGGUGAUCGGCCACCCUGGAACUGAGACACCGUCCAGACUCCUACGGGAGGCAGCAGUAGGGAAUCUUCCGCAAUGGGCGAAAGCCUGACGGAGCGACGCCGCGUGAGUGAUGAAGGUCUUCGGAGCGUAAAGCUCUGUUAUGAGGGAAGAACAAAUGUGUACGUAACUAUGCACGUCUUGACGGUACCGAAUCAGAAAGCAACGGCUAACUACGUG